rnacentral:rRNA from 1 species
GACGAACGCUGGCGGCGUGCUUAACACAUGCAAGUCGAACGGAAAGGCCCUGCUUUUGUGGGGUGCUCGAGUGGCGAACGGGUGAGUAACACGUGAGUAACCUGCCCUUGACUUUGGGAUAACUUCAGGAAACUGGGGCUAAUACCGGAUAGGAGCUCCUGCUGCAUGGUGGUGGUUGGAAAGUUUCGGCGGUUGGGGAUGGACUCGCGGCUUAUCAGCUUGUUGGUGGGGUAGUGGCUUACCAAGGCUUUGACGGGUAGCCGGCCUGGGAGGGUGACCGGCCACAUUGGGACUGAGAUACGGCCCAGACUCCUACGGGAGGCAGCAGUGGGGAAUAUUGCACAAUGGGCGGAAGCCUGAUGCAGCAACGCCGCGUGCGGGAUGACGGCCUUCGGGUUGUAAACCGCUUUCGCCUGUGACGAAGCGUGAGUGACGGUAAUGAGUAAAGAAGCACCGGCUAACUACGUG